CACGUAGGGCGCAAGCGUUGUCCGGAAUUAUUGGGCGUAAAGAGCUCGUAGGCGGUCUGUUGCGUCCGCUGUGAAAACUCGGGGCUUAACUGUGGACUUGCGGUCGAUACGGGCAUCACUGGAGUUCGGCAGGGGAGACUGGAAUUCCUGGUGUAGCGGUGAAAUGCGCAGAUAUCUGGAGGAACACCGGUGGCGAAGGCGGCGUUCUGGACUGCAACUGACACUGAGGAACGAAAGCCAGGGGAGCAAAACGGG
rnacentral:rRNA from 1 species